rnacentral:rRNA from 1 species
UACGGAGGGAGCUAGCGUUGUUCGGAAUUACUGGGCGUAAAGCGCACGUAGGCGGCUAUCUAAGUCAGGGGUGAAAGCCCGGGGCUCAACCCCGGAAUUGCCUUUGAGACUGGAUAGCUAGAAUCUUGGAGAGGCGGGUGGAAUUCCGAGUGUAGAGGUGAAAUUCGUAGAUAUUCGGAAGAACACCAGUGGCGAAGGCGGCCCGCUGGACAAGUAUUGACGCUGAGGUGCGAAAGCGUGGGGAGCAAACAGGAUUAGAAACCCCCGUAGUCC